rnacentral:rRNA from 1 species
UACGAAGGGGGCAAGCGUUGCUCGGAAUCACUGGGCGUAAAGGGCGCGUAGGCGGCCUGAUAAGUCGGGGGUGAAAGCCUGUGGCUCAACCACAGAAUUGCCUUCGAUACUGUUAGGCUUGAGACCGGAAGAGGUAAGUGGAACUGCGAGUGUAGAGGUGAAAUUCGUAGAUAUUCGCAAGAACACCAGUGGCGAAGGCGGCUUACUGGUCCGGAUCUGACGCUGAGGCGCGAAAGCGUGGGGAGCAAACAGG